rnacentral:rRNA from 1 species
CCUACGGGCGGCAGCAGUGAGGAAUAUUGGUCAAUGGACGAGAGUCUGAACCAGCCAAGUAGCGUGAAGGAUGACUGCCCUAUGGGUUGUAAACUUCUUUUAUAUGGGAAUAAAACGUUCCACGUGUGGGAUUUUGUAUGUACCAUAUGAAUAAGGAUCGACUAACUCCGUGCCAGCAGCCGCGGUAAUACGGAGGAUCCGAGCGUUAUCCGGAUUUAUUGGGUUUAAAGGGAGCGUAGGUGGAUUGUUAAGUCAGUUGUGAAAGUUUGCGGCUCAACCGUAAAAUUGCAGUUGAAACUGGCAGUCUUGAGUACAGUAGAGGUGGGCGGAAUUCGUGGUGUAGCGGUGAAAUGCUUAGAUAUCACGAAGAACUCCGAUUGCGAAGGCAGUUCACUGGACUGCAACUGACACUGAGGCUCGAAAGUGUGGGUAUCAAACAGGAUUAGAUACCCCGGUAGUC